UACGUAGGGUGCAAGCGUUGUCCGGAAUUAUUGGGCGUAAAGAGCUCGUAGGCGGUUUGUUGCGUCGGCUGUGAAAUCCCGAGGCUCAACCUCGGGUCUGCAGUCGAUACGAGCAAACUAGAGUGUUGCAGGGGAGACUGGAAUUCCUGGUGUAGCGGUGGAAUGCGCAGAUAUCAGGAGGAACACCUAUAGCGAAGGCAGCUCGCUGGGACGACACUGACGCUGAGACGCGAAAGCGUGGGGAGCAAACAGG
rnacentral:rRNA from 1 species